CCCACAUCCGCCGGAAGUGCGUCCGUCCGGGCGAGGAAGGAAAUAGGGCGCGGGGCGCCGACUGCAGGCCGUGAUGAAACGUGGGUGAGAAGCAGGUGAAUGAGCCCAGCCAGGCAAGCAGCUGAGCCUGCUUAUUAGGAGAUGUGAGAGCAUGCCCGCCUGAAAAACUCCCGUGGCUUUGCUCGAAUUCUCAUCCCUCCGAAAGUAGAGAAAGGGCGGGGUGACGUAGACGCCUGCCUUUGCCAGAAGACGCAGUUGACUGAUGCUGUUGAAUGAUGAGCAGCAAGAGCCGUGGAAGAACUCCACUCAGAGGCAGUCAUGAUAAACCAGAGCAUCAGCCCUUUCCGCUGGGAUACCAAUAAGUCUUGAACUUCAAAACUGCUGACCUAAAAAGGAUACUUGAGAAGGAGCAAGUCUUUCCUUUUUUCUUUUAAAGAAAGCAACACCAGAAGCAGUCGAACUUCCUUGUUCACUUAGGUGCAUGCAAAAAAGAAAACAGGUUUACUCUGCUUCAGGACCCUCUCUUACCCCUCAUGGCGUGAGCCUGAAGCCUGUCCACUGAGGAACGUUCUAAGAACUUCCAGAUCAUUCCAUGGAACUACAGCAGAAAGGACCCGAGGUGAGAAGAGAGAUCCUGUGUUCUGACCACUCUCCAGAAGGAAGUAUCGCCGGAGGGACAUCUUUGAGAGGCGACCUUCCAGACAUCUUCUGGAACACUCUGAAGCAAGAGCGCCAGCAGCCUUUCAGAAGACCCCAUUGCAUCCCUGCGCCCUCGAUUUCAGCAUUUCUUAAACUGUCUGGAACACACAGACAUACUCUUGGAGGCCUCAGAGUUCUAAAAACGAUCUGCAAAUUUUUGUCUUUUCCUUGGGAUCGCCAUCCAAAAAGAAGUGAUACGUGAGCCUCCUCCGGUGACCGCGUUUCUUUUUUAAUUAGUACACUUUAUGUGGACGAGUGGUUUGAGGUUUACAGAGAAACUGAGUGAAAAGUGUAAACUUACCUUCCAGCCCUGACUCCUCCACCUCCAGUUCCCACGAUUAACAGCUUCCGUCAGGGUGGCGUAUUCGUCACAGUUGAGGAGCCCAUAGUAAUACAUUCUUAUUCAUUAAAGCCCAUUCUUGGCACUAGGGUUCAUUCUCUGAGUUAUACAUCCUAGGAGUUUUGACAAAUGCAAUGACUCCUUUUUAUCUGAGGACCACCAGAGAGAUUUUCAGUCUUACCUUGCUUUUGUGUUUCGAGACCAGUUCCGCUUUUCAUUGUCCCGGAUGAGUAAGACAGGAACAGAGUUGGACUUAAGAGGCAACACGUGAUGACAGUUUUAGUGACGGAAACUCACACGCCUCAGACAUGAAGGUUUGUCUGUGGUUCAGAAGAAGAAACGGGUUUGCUUGGAGUUACCCCAAGGCGUGCCGUGGUCCGCCCUCCCCAAGGCAGACGCCAUCAUCGCUGCCAUGUUCACAUCCUGAAAGGUGAUGUUUGUUUCAGCAAAUAGUGUUUCUCACAUUAAUAUAAGGCUAUUGCAAUAUCGCUGACAUUGUAGUUUGCAUUUGCCUUUGCAUUUGGAGGUGUAGUUUAAUUUGUAAGUUUGCAUCACUGUGAGUAUAGGGACUUUAUACCUAGUCAUAUGCCCAUAAUUAAGAAAUGCUUUAGAGAAAAUAUUUGUACGUGAUAUGACUGAUAGGAGGGGAAUAUCCAAAAUAUGUAACAGCUCAUACAACUCAGUAUCAAAAAACAAAACAAAGCAAAACACAAUUAAACGUGGGCAGAAGACCUUGAUAGACGUUUUUCUAGAGAAGACAGGCAGAAGGCCAACAGCCACAUGAAAAAAUGGUCACUAUAAUUACACCAGAGAAAUGUGAGUCAAAGUUGCCAUGAGAACACUUCACAGCUGUCAGAACGGCUACCAUCAAAAAGACCACACAUAACAAACGUUGGCAAGGAUGUGGCGAAAAGAAACACUUGCACACUGCUGGUGGGCGUGUAAACUAGUGCAGUCACUGUGGACGUCAAUAUGGGGGUUCCUCCAAAACUAAAAGUAGAACUGCCAUGUGAUUCCGCAGUUCCACUCCUGAGUGUGUGUCCCAAGAAACUGGAAGCACUCAUUUGAAAAGAUGUAUGCACCCUGGUGUCUGCAGCAGCAUUAUUUAUGGUAGCCAAGAUGCGGAAGCAAGCCAAGUGCCCAUCCAUAGAUGAAUGAAGAAAAUGUGGUGUAUGUGUAUAUAUUCGUGUGUGUGCGUGCGUGCCAUAAAAAGGAGAUUCUGUCAUUUGGAGCAAUGUCAAUGGACCUCGAGAAUAUUAUGCUCAGUGAAAUAAGACACAGAGAAAGAUGAAUACCGUAUGAUAAAAAUUCUAUGUGGAAUCUAAGAAAUAAACGAAUGUAUAUAACAAAACAGAAACAGACUCACGGGUAUAGAGAACAAACUAGUGGUUUCCAGUGGGGAAAGGGGAUGGUCAAGGCACAGGUGUGGGAUUAUAGGCUUAAGAAACAAACUGCUAUAAAAAUGGAUAAGCAAAAAGGAUAUAUUGUACGGCACGGGGGAAUACAGCCAUUGUUUUGUAAUCACUUUAAAUGGAGUAUAGUCUAAAAAUCCUGAAUCACUCUGUUUUAAACCUGAAACUAAUAUA